AUUAAUAUAUAAAACCUAUAUUAUUAAUAGAUAUAAUCUUUAAAAUUAAAAAAAAUGGCGGUAUUUUAGUCUGUUCAGAGGAAUCUGCCCUAUAAUUGAUAGUCCACGAUUUUUAUUACUUAAGAUUUUAGUUUAUAUAUCGCUGUGGUUUGAAUAUUUUUAUUGAAUUGUAAUAUUCAAUUAUUUUAUAUAGUUAAUAUCAAGUCAUGAUGUAGCUUAUUUUUAAGUAGAGGUGGAUUACAGUGAAAAUAUUAUAUGGUUAAAAUUAUGAAAAAAUUUUAUAAAUUGGAUUUGAAGGUAAUUUUUUAUUAAAAUUUAAAAAAUGAUUUUAGCUCUAAAAUA
rnacentral:rRNA from 1 species